AACGUACGCUGGCGGCACGCCUUAUACAUGCAAGUCGAACGCAGUAGCAAUACUGAGUGGCAGACGGGUGAGUAACAUGUGGGUAUCUUCCCUUUGGUGAGGAAUAACACGAGGAAACUUGUGCUAAUACCUCAUAAGUAAAAACGGAGAAAGCUUUAUGCGCCAAUGGAUGAGCCCGCACUUGAUUAGUUUGUUGGUGGGGUAAUGGCCUACCAAGACGGUGAUCAAUAGCUGAUCUGAGAGGAUGAUCAGCCACAUUGGGACUGAGACACGGCCCAAACUCCUACGGGAGGCAGCAGUAGGGAAUAUUGCACAAUGGAGGAAACUCUGAUGCAGCGAUGCCGCGUGAGUGAAGAAGGCCCUUGGAGGUAAAGCUCUUUCGUCGGGGAAGANAAAUGACUGUACCCGAAUAAGAAGGUCCG
rnacentral:rRNA from 1 species